rnacentral:rRNA from 1 species
GACGAACGCUGGCGGCGUGCUUAACACAUGCAAGUCGAACGGUAAGGCCCUUCGGGGUACACGAGUGGCGAACGGGUGAGUAACACGUGGGUGAUCUGCCCUGCACUUCGGGAUAAGCCUGGGAAACUGGGUCUAAUACCGGAUAGGACUCCUGGCUUCAUGGUUGGGGGUGUAAAGCUUUUGCGGUGUGGGAUGGGCCCGCGGCCUAUCAGCUUGUUGGUGGGGUAAUGGCCUACCAAGGCGACGACGGGUAGCCGGCCUGAGAGGGUGACCGGCCACACUGGGACUGAGAUACGGCCCAGACUCCUACGGGAGGCAGCAGUGGGGAAUAUUGCACAAUGGGCGCAAGCCUGAUGCAGCGACGCCGCGUGAGGGAUGACGGCCUCGGUU